GGGUCAGUAGGUUGGUCGUGCCACCGGUACGUACUGGUCUCACUGAUUCCUCCUUCCUGAAGAACCGUAAUGCCAUUAAUUUGGUGUUGCGGGGAAACAGGACUGUUACUUUGAAAAAAUUAGAGUGUUUAAAGCAAGCUAACGCUUGAAUACAUUAGCAUGGAAUAAUGAAACAGGACGACCGAUCCUAUUUUGUUGGUUUCUAGGAUUGACGUA
rnacentral:rRNA from 1 species